ACUUUUCUCUGCCUAUAUCAUGCAUUUGUGCAUACCUUUGUAAUUUGUUUCUUCGAUGCACUGUUUGUAAUUUUUGUAGUUUUCUCUCAUUUAUUUUAGUUAUGUUUAGAAAACUAAUCACUGGGUCUGAAUCAUUUAUGAUGCAGAGUUGCCUUUCCCUCAUUAUAGCUCUUUAUUUUACCAAUGUGUUACAGUUUAUUAGAUCUCUUAAAUCGUUUUCAAUUAUUGCAUGAUUUGUUUGUAAAAUGUCAUUUAGGAAGCUUUCAAGGUUAAUUGUUUUUAAUGAAUAUUCCAUAUAUUAGCGAUCGGGUUUAGUUUUCAUUUUUUAUGAUUUUCUCCUAAAGUAUAUAUUUCAUCUUGAUUUUUGAGUUCUUUAUUCAUUAGGAUCUGGUUUGGUUAAUUGGUUGAUGUGCUAUCUAUGAUUGAGUCUCAUCAAAUUUAACCUCUUUCAUAUGGUACUAGUUAGUAAAUAGAUAUGAGUUUGUAGAUGUAUUUAAUUAGUAGUUACUAUUCUUCUUUAUAUUCUUGGCUACUCCUCAAUUUUCCAAGAAAAUUUGACUUGAUAGUGAUAGGCCUUUGAUCAUACAUAUAAAGUUGAUUUAUGAAAAGUAUGGGAAAACAUGAUUUGCUGUAAUAUUCAUUGUUAUAUAAUACAGCUUGAUUAAAUCCUGCAUGUUUGAAUUUGAUGUUGUCUGGUAUCAUUCUGCUUAAUUUUGUUUCCCUAUUUGACUCCAAUAACUUCCGCUUAAUUAUUGAAGCUAAUAGUUUUGUGUGUAACCAUAGUAAUUUCAGUUAAUGGAUGUUUUUUAUCGAUUUAUAUAAUUAGAAAAACUAAGCAAAUUAGUUACCAGUCAGAGAUAUCUUUGGAGUUUUUCUUCCCACUAAUCAUAGCAUAUAUACUAUACUAGUAAAGGGUACAUACACAUAUUAAGGAUUUACUAAAAAUAAAGAGGUGAUAAAUAUGUCUGUACAUUUCCUACUGUUUAUUAUUUUUCUAUUUUUCUUUCAUUUAGUUUGGUUAUGCCUAGACAACUUAUCACUAGAUCCAAAUAAUUUAUGAUGCAGAGUUGCUUAUUGUUCACUAUUGCUCUUUAUUUUAACAAGGCUCUACAGUUUAUUGGAUCUCUUAGAUUGUUUUCACUUGUAGCAUGAUUUGGUUUUAAAUGGUGACGUCCAUAUAUUAGUCUUUAAUGACCUUUCCAUAUAUUAAUGAUCUAGCUUGUUUGUUUGCUUUUUUUUUUUUUUUUUUUUUUAAUAAUGAUUUUCUCCUAAGGUACGUAUUUCAUCUUGUUCUUUGAGUUCUUCAUGCAUUAGGAUCUGGUUGGGUUUAUUGGUUUAUAUGCUAUCUAUGGUUGUCUCAUCAAAUUUAACAUCUUUUAUAUGGCACAGGUUAGUAAAUAGAUAUGAAUUGUAGAUGUAUAUAAUUAGCAGUUACUCUUCUUCUUAAUAUCUCUGGCUGCUCAUCCACUUUCCAAGAAAAUUCAACUUUACAGUGAUAAGCCUUUAGCCACACAUAUUAAGUUGGUUUAUGAAAGAUGGAACAACAUGAUUUGCUAUCACUUGAUUAAAUUCUGCUUGUUUGAAUUGGAUGCUGUCUGGUAUCAUUCUUUUUAAUUUUGUUUCUCUUUUAUAGUACAAUAACUUUCUCUUAAUUAUUAAAGCUAAUAGUUUUGUGCAUAAAUUAUACAUACAACAGACAUAAAAUUGAACUCGUUAUAUGCAGUUACUCAGAGAGAGCAGAUGCUAUUGAAGAUUUUGGCAGAGGCCGUGGAGAUGUAUUUAUAUAUUCUGAAGAUUUGGCAGAGAGUAACUAUGGAGACGCAGAAGCAAAAGAGCACAUGUUUAAGCAGGCACAAUUGUCAAAGACAAGGCAGCACCUGAUAGAAAUCCAAAUUUGAUAGAGGUAUCAGAGAUACUUAUCAAAAAAGAGAAGCUACCUAAGAACUAUUCAUGUCCACAAGUAGAGUGGUGAUUUUAAGUUUCAAAAGACCAAGAUCAUGUUUAAUGCAACGACAAGUUCAAUGCAACAUUCACCUCCCACUUACACCAUUGCCCACCAGCAUCGUCGUUACUCUUAGCUGCAUUUUUUUAUAUAUUUUAUUUUCUUAUAUUGUCAUUGUUUUAAUUGUGCAAUGGCUAUUAUAUGUAUGUAAUGACAUUAUUAUUUUAUAAAUAAUAUUUGAAAUUUUGGUAUUGU